CGUUGAAUGACGUGCUUGCACUGAUUUCAACAAUGAAGCGAGUGGCGAACUGGUGAGUAACACGUGGGAAAUCUGCCCAGAAGCAGGGGAUAACACUUGGAAACAGGUGCUAAUACCGUAUAACAACAAAAUCCGCAUGGAUUUUGUUUGAAAGGUGGCUUCGGCUAUCACUUCUGGAUGAUCCCGCGGCGUAUUAGUUAGUUGGUGAGGUAAAGGCCCACCAAGACGAUGAUACGUAGCCGACCUGAGAGGGUAAUCGGCCACAUUGGGACUGAGACACGGCCCAAACUCCUACGGGAGGCAGCAGUAGGGAAUCUUCCACAAUGGACGAAAGUCUGAUGGAGCAAUGCCGCGUGAGUGAAGAAGGGUUUCGGCUCGUAAAACUCUGUUGUUAAAGAAGAACACCUUUGAGAGUAACUGUUCAAGGGUUGACGGUAUUUAACCAGAAAGCCACGGCUAACUACGUGCCAGCAGCCGCGGUAAUACGUAGGUGGCAAGCGUUGUCCGGAUUUAUUGGGCGUAAAGCGAGCGCAGGCGGUUUUUUAAGUCUGAUGUGAAAGCCUUCGGCUUAACCGGAGAAGUGCAUCGGAAACUGGGAGACUUGAGUGCAGAAGAGGACAGUGGAACUCCAUGUGUAGCGGUGGAAUGCGUAGAUAUAUGGAAGAACACCAGUGGCGAAGGCGGCUGUCUAGUCUGUAACUGACGCUGAGGCUCGAAAGCAUGGGUAGCGAACAGGAUUAGAUACCCUGGUAGUCCAUGCCGUAAACGAUGAGUGCUAAGUGUUGGAGGGUUUCCGCCCUUCAGUGCUGCAGCUAACGCAUUAAGCACUCCGCCUGGGGAGUACGACCGCAAGGUUGAAACUCAAAGGAAUUGACGGGGGCCCGCACAAGCGGUGGAGCAUGUGGUUUAAUUCGAAGCUACGCGAAGAACCUUACCAGGUCUUGACAUCUUCUGCCAAUCUUAGAGAUAAGACGUUCCCUUCGGGGACAGAAUGACAGGUGGUGCAUGGUUGUCGUCAGCUCGUGUCGUGAGAUGUUGGG
rnacentral:rRNA from 1 species